AGAGUUUGAUCAUGGCUCAGAGUGAACGCUGGCGGCAGGCCUAACACAUGCAAGUCGAGCGGCAGCACGGGUAGCAAUACCUGGUGGCGAGCGGCGGACGGGUGAGGAAUACAUCGGAAUCUGCCUCGUCGUGGGGGAUAACGUAGGGAAACUUACGCUAAUACCGCAUACGACCGAGAGGUGAAAGCGGGGGAUCGCAAGACCUCGCGCGAUGAGAUGAGCCGAUGUCGGAUUAGCUAGUUGGCGGGGUAAGAGCCCACCAAGGCGACGAUCCGUAGCUGGUCUGAGAGGAUGAUCAGCCACACUGGAACUGAGACACGGUCCAGACUCCUACGGGAGGCAGC
rnacentral:rRNA from 1 species